GCUUACGUAGACUAGGAAAAAAAACAAAGGAGCAUCUAAAAAUAUCGAUCGAGUCUAUCGAGAGCAUCUAGAACAAUCUUCUAGUUACUGCUUUUUGGAACUAGCGCAUCCGCAUGUGGAGGAUGAGCACGAACUCACGUUGUUAUUUUCAACAUCUCCUCUCAACGGAAUUCGAAUGCUCAUCAAACCAAUGGUUUCUAGAGACUGAUGGAUGUUCAAAUCAAUUUCAGGUGAGUUGUAAUAUUUGCUUGAAUAUAUUUUUCAUCGCUCUUUUCAAAUAUUGUAGCCAUUUGGUUUGUAAAUACGAACCUUUUUCCACUCACUGCAACUUUUGAUACCGAAAUCAAAUUUGCUUUUAAUACUGGUACAUGCAAUGUGUUUUCCAAUCAAAACUUCCACAGCUUGUUUUUUAUACACUUAAAUAAUACUGCAGUACCUUUGAUUUCAGCUGGCUUGCCAUUGGCUGAUUUUAGCUGGCUUGUCAUUCGUUGAUUUCACGUUUUGAUUUUUGAUUGGCUGUAUGGAUUCAAAACGGCUUAUGUCACAGCAUAUAUGUGAUGUAGCAUCAUUGCCAAUGCACCAUUCCAUUAGUAG
rnacentral:misc_RNA from 1 species